AAUAAGAGCGUUAUCUGCAAAAUCUCUCCGCCGCUCCUUUCUUGUAACCUUAAAAUCAAAUACUAGUAAUCCGAGGAACGAAGGGUACAGCUUCCGCGCAACCAGCAUGAGAGCCAAGUGGAAGAAGAAGCGUAUGAGGAGAUUGAAGAGGAAGAGACGAAAGAUGAGACAGCGAUCUAAGUAGAUUCGGGAGCUGUUGUUUUUUUAUAUAUUUGUCUUUCCUUCUUUUUAGAACCAACUCUUGUGGGAGUUUUGUUGGUUUUGCAAUUUGAAUGUUUUGUUGGACCAAAUCGAAUCUAUCUUUUUCUAUUAGAAUUAUCUUUCUUACAUAGAAAGAUGAGAUCCACACGA